ensembl:misc_RNA Metazoa_SRP Metazoan signal recognition particle RNA
GCUGGGUGUGGUGGCACGUGCCUGUAGUCCCAACUACUCGGGAGACUGAGGCUGGUGAUCUCUUGAGCCCAGUUCUGGGCUGUAGUGCGCUACGGUGACUGGGUGUCCGCACUAAGUUUGGCAUCAGUGUGGUGACCUUCUGUGAGUGGGGGACCACCAGGUUGCCUAAGGAGGGGUGAACCAGCCCAGGUCGGAAAUGAAGCAGGUCAAAACUCCUGUGCUGAUCAGUAGUGGGAUCGCACCUGUGAAUAGCCACUGCAUUCCAGCCUGGGCAACAUAGCAAGACCCCAUCUCUU